AUUNAGCUAGUUGGUGAGGUAAAGGCUCACCAAGGCGACGAUCUGUAGCNGGUCUGAGAGGAUGAUCNGCCACACUGGGACUGAGACACGGCCCAGACUCCUACGGGAGGCAGCAGUGGGGAAUUUUGGACAAUGGGCGCAANCCUGAUCCAGCCAUGCCGCGUGAGUGAAGAAGGCCUUCGGGUUGUAAAGCUCUUUCAGNCGGAAAGAAAUCGNANNNNNUAAUACCUNGUGCGGAUGACGGUACCGUNAGAAGAAGCACCGGCUAACUACGUGCCAGCAGCCGCGGUAAUACGUAGGGUGCGAGCGUUAAUCGGAAUUACUGGGCGUAAAGCGUGCGCAGGCGGUUUUGUAAGUCAGACGUGAAAUCCCCGGGCUUAACCUGGGAACUG
rnacentral:rRNA from 1 species